AGUGAACGCUGGCGGUAGGCCUAACACAUGCAAGUCGAACGGCAGCACAGGAGAGCUUGCUCUCUGGGUGGCGAGUGGCGGACGGGUGAGGAAUACAUCGGAAUCUACUCUGUCGUGGGGGAUAACGUAGGGAAACUUACGCUAAUACCGCAUACGACCUACGGGUGAAAGCAGGGGACCUUCGGGCCUUGCGCGAUUGAAUGAGCCGAUGUCGGAUUAGCUAGUUGGCGGGGUAAAGGCGCACCAAGGCGACGAUCCGUAGCUGGGCUGAGAGGAUGGUCAGCCACACUGGAACGGAGAGACGGUCCAGACUCCAACGGGAGGCAGCAGUGGGGAGUAUUGGACAAUGGGCGCAAGCCUGAUCAGGCAAUACCGCGUGGGUGAAGAAGGCCUUCGGGUUGUAAAGCCCUUUUGUUGGGAAAGAAAUCCAGCUGCUAAUACCCGGUUGGGAUGACGGUACCCAAAGAAUAAGCACCGGCUAACUUCGUGCCAGCCGCCGCGGUAA
rnacentral:rRNA from 1 species